rnacentral:rRNA from 1 species
AGCGAACGCUGGCGGCAGGCCUAACACAUGCAAGUCGAACGAACCUUUCGGGGUUAGUGGCGGACGGGUGAGUAACACGUGGGAACGUGCCUUUAGGUUCGGAAUAACUCAGGGAAACUUGUGCUAAUACCGAAUGUGCCCUUCGGGGGAAAGAUUAAUCGCCUUUAGAGCGGCCCGCGUCUGAUUAGCUAGUUGGUUGAGGUAAUGGCUCACCAAGGCGACGAUCAGUAGCUGGUCUGAGAGGAUGAUCAGCCAGAUUGGGACUGAGACACGGCCCAAACUCAUACGGGAUGCAGCAGUGGGGAAUAUUGGACAAUGGGCGAAAGCCUGAAGCAGUAAUGCCGCGUGAAUGAUGAAGGCCGUAGGGUUGUAAAGCUCUUGUACCCGGGAUGAUAAUGACAGUACCGGGAGAAUAAGCUCCGGCUAACUCCGUG